rnacentral:lncRNA from 1 species
GGGCCAAGACAUAAACUAAAUGUCUCUGAAAUCAAUAGGCAUAAUUCCAACUCUGAGCCCAAAUGGCUUUCGGUAUGCUAAGCACAAAAACCAAGCCCGAUAUGAGCUUGAGAGCCCAAGUGUGUCCAGGCCCAAAUACAGAAGAUCAGGCUUCGAAAAUCAAGUACAAACCAGUAGCAAAUAUAUUAUGGCAAUUCUUUAUAUUACCACCCAGAUUAUACACUUAGGAUUAACUAUAACAACUUAGCAGUACACCAUGGGUCUAAGGCUACUGAAAUGUCUCUCCGCCUACGCAAAUGCAAAUAACAUGACUUACAGAUGAUACAAUUGCAUCACUUAUUAUCUAUUAGCCUUAGCUAGGAUGAAAUCAAUGCAUUUAAGAGUAUGAAAGGCCAAAAACGACAAGCAUGCUUAGAUAUCCAUUACAACACUUAUUAACAAUCCUUAAGCAAACACUAACUUAAGAAUCUACCUAGUUUUACAAUAGUUCACGGAAUUGAAAGUAUAAACAUCAUGAAGAACUAAAAAUUAAACAAAAAAUUUUGUGUUCAUGCUUCAGCUCUUAUUUCAUCUUCAAAUGGAGAGUUACAUCUACAGAAUUGAGAAUAAGUACCAGGAGAUUUGAAGUCAAAAACAGAAAUGAAGUAUCAGCAAGCAGUAUCAAGGAUCAACAAUAGUGUUAGCCCAGAAAUAACAAAAUAAAAUCAAUUUUGAAGCAGGUUCGAACCAACAAGACUCUCAAGCAAUGUUCAACAAUCUAAACAAACCCAAAAUUGAACUAAAACCCUUGCAAACCAACAAAAAUCAACUCAUUUUAACCUUUAACUGUUCAAGAAUUAUUUCGGAAUGAAGAUCUCAGAUUUUUUUAGGAAUUCUUCUAAUGGAACAGUGAAUAUUUUUUGUAUUAUUCAGCCGUUUGUAUUUGCUCUAUUUUUUUUAGAUCUGCCCCUUCUCAAAAUCUACCUUGCAAUGCAAGAAUGGCUUGCCUUUAUAGGCAAGCAAUUUAGGGCAACCCUGCAGAUUUAGUUUUACCCCUUAGAUCCUUUUUUGUUCUUGUUUUAGCUUAAGAAUCCCUAAAGUUUUGACUUUUUACCCAAGUUAUACUAUCAAAAGUCUGAAAUUCACAAAGAACCCCCUCCCGACUAGAAGCUUCCUAUUUAUGUUACACCUAAGAUUCCUUUAACCAAAUACCUAAACCACCCUCCAAUACCCAUGUUAUGACUGCUGAAAACAUGACCCAAAACAUGGGUCAAAAUUGACCCAAAUACAAUCAGAGGGUCUGAGUCUAUCAUUCUGGGACAAACCUUUUCUUUUAAGCCCAAAUAGACUCGAGGUUUCACAGAAGAAAUCAAAGAGAAGAGAAGGAAUGAGACUAAACAGAAACCACAUGCAUUUUAACCUAAAAGCUCCAAAAUCCCAAAUAGAAAAGGCAUGCCAAUUUAAUCUAAUACAAGCUCAGAACACUACUUAACUAAAAAUGAAAAACAUGCGGAAGAUUUGAAGUACCGGGGAAACUGCAAAGAAACAGAAAAGAAAGUAAAUCGAAACAUGCACAAAGAAAUAUAAGAAGAAGAUAAAGUGAACCACAUGAAGAUUAGAACUCUAAAUUUAGAGAUGAAAUACCUAAGAAAAACAGCCCAGACCGUAAGAAAACAGGAGAACUCCGAAUCUUCAGAACUUCGGCUCAAUCGGAGAUUAGUCAUGUGUUUUUUAGCAAAAACGCACGAAUAAGGUCAGAAUAAACCUGAAAGAUUCCCAGUAGCCUUGAAUUGAAGAAUUUGGGGUUUUAAAGUUAAAUUGUGAUCUAAGAUUCGAGAAGUUUGGGUAGAAUUCGAGGAAAACUAGUCCAAGAUUUGGAAAGAGGGGGUAAAGGAGGCUCUAUGGUGUUGAUUUGGUGGUGAACAGAGCCGGCGUCACCACCCCAAGGCAGUGGGAAAAAGGGGCAGCGUCUCUAGGGUUAAAGCUGUGAGAGACGGAGAGGUAGG